ACUCCUGCGGGAGGCAGCAGUAGGGAAUCUUCGGCAAUGGGGGCAACCCUGACCGAGCAACGCCGCGUGAGUGAAGAAGGUUUUCGGAUCGUAAAGCUCUGUUGUAAGUCAAGAACGAGUGUGAGAGUGGAAAGUUCACACUGUGCCGGUAGCUUACCAGAAAGGGACGGCUAACUACGUGCCAGCAGCCGCGGUAAUACGUAGGUCCCGAGCGUUGUCCGGAUUUAUUGGGCGUAAAGCGAGCGCAGGCGGUUUGAUAAGUCUGAAGUUAAAGGCUGUGGCUCAACCAUAGUUCGCUUUGGAAACUGUCAAACUAGAGUGCAGAAGGGGAGAGUGGAAUUCCAUGUGUAGCGGUGAAAUGCGUAGAUAUAUGGAGGAACACCGGUGGCGAAAGCGGCUCUCUGGUCUGUAACUGACGCUGAGGCUCGAAAGCGUGGGGAGCGAACAGGAUUAGAAACCCUGGUAGUCCCAUGA
rnacentral:rRNA from 1 species